CCCUCCGCGGGAGGGACCUCGGCGCCUAGAACGACGAAGACAGGCCGCACUUACUUGUUUGUGCAGCGCCGGCUUCACCUGGCCGCGAGUUUGAUUUCAGGGUGUGGCCUCAGGGUAACACUGAGGCCUGACCUCAUGAGCCAACCCCUGAUCUCCUGUGGCCCGCUCCCUCCAGGAAGCUGCCUGCUGAGCCUAGGCUGAUGGGACCAUGUGGCAGGGCAGGGGCAGCUGGUACACACGUAUGGCUUUCCCCACAGAUUAAGUACCUAGCGAUGUAGGAGCACUGGCUGACUGCUGGCUACUGGAAGCAGGGUGUGCUGGGUGGGAGGGUUCGGGGAAGUGGUUGUGGGGGAUUUGAAAUGAACGGUGAACCAAGCUAGAAUGAACUGUGCUGCGUUGUUGAACCUAGAGUCAACACCCUUAAAGAUUUUUUCCUGACUCACAAAUGUGCGCGUGAAUUAUUUUCUUUUAAUGCAAAUAACUUCUAUACCCAAACCAGAGCCCCAAGCAGUUUGAACUGUUGAGCUACAAUAAAGUGUGGGCAUUAGAAUAUUA